AGCUCCAAUAGCGUAUAUUAAAGUUGUUGCAGUUAAAAAGCUCGUAGUUGAAUUUCUGUCAUAUGCAGGCCGGCGUGCUUUCGAGUAUUGUCUGGUCAGCAUUGAUAUCUUUCAGGUUACGCGUGCUUCUUUACUGGAGUUCGUUGUAUCCUGGACCUUUACUUUGAGAAAAUUAGAGUGUUUCAAGCAGGCCUACGCCUUGAAUACUACAGCAUGGAAUAAUAAGAUAGGACUUUGGUUCUUUCUUGUUGGUUCGGAGAACUAAGGUAAUGAUUAACAGGGACAGUCGGGGGCAUUCGUAUUUAACUGUCAGAGGUGAAAUUCUUAGAUUUGUUAAAGACGAACUACUGCGAAAGCAUUUGCCAAGGAUGUUCCCAUUAAUCAAGAACGAAAGUACGCA
rnacentral:rRNA from 1 species